rnacentral:rRNA from 1 species
UACGUAGGGGGCAAGCGUUGUCCGGAUUUAUUGGGCGUAAAGAGCGUGUAGGCGGCCAGACAGGUCCGUUGUGAAAACUCGAGGCUCAACCUCGAGAUGUCGAUGGAAACUGUCUGGCUAGAGUCCGGAAGGGGCGAGUGGAAUUCCUGGUGUAGCGGUGAAAUGCGCAGAUAUCAGGAGGAACACCUAUGGCGAAGGCAGCUCUCUGGGACGGUACUGACGCUGAGACGCGAAAGCGUGGGGAGCGAACAGG